GGUGGCAUUAGCUCAGUCUGCAUGGGACUUGUGUUAGGAACUAGAGGGUGGCCGGUUUAAGUCCCAGUACGUACCAAAAUAUGGUAAUUGGUAGCAGGAGAGGUGCUAGGGCUCUUCCCGAGCACUGCCGAGGUGCCCUUGUGUUAUUCUUACUCUCUGAUGUUCAUCACUUUGGAUAAAAGUCUGCUUAAUGAAUUGUAGAAUUGUAAAACCGUUAGUACACUUUAUAUCCAGUAAAGUAAUCUCAUUAAAGCUGAGUGGUUAUUCACGUAAGAAAAUCUCCUCUCUGCUCCGAGAAAAAAACAAAACUCCACUGUAUUCCUGCCAGCUGGAGGAAGUGAUGAGUGUUCAAACCCUCGGCAGUGAAGUCAUCAUAGAAAACAUAUUUCACAACCUGAGCUGUUCAUUGACAAGUCUUUUCCCAACCACAGGCGUGUUAGCAUUCAUCACUGAACCCUCAAAAAGCCCCCUGAAACCCUGUAACCCUCAGCUGAAAGGACUGAGAUGUGUGCUGCAUAAGCCGUCAAAUACCAACAUCAUUUGACUUCUCUAUCCUUCCUCUGCAACACGAUCCCUCCUCUGCAGCCUCCAGGUCGUCUCCUCCUUGGCCACGUCGUGUCCUGACCUCGCCUUUUCUGUCCGCCUUCUCUGCUCUCUUUUGGCAACAGAAACAGAGUCCAUGCAGAUUCACAGAACAGCUGUUAUUUAUUCUAUAUGUGUGUGUGUGUGUGUGUGUGUGUGUGUGUGUGUGUGUGUGUGUGUGUGUGUGUGUGUGUGUGUGUGUAGGAGUGAGUGUGUGCAAUCCAAGGACAAAAUGUACAAAGGAAAUAUUGAAAUAAAGACAUUCUACUGAU